rnacentral:rRNA from 1 species
UACGUAGGGGGCUAGCGUUAUCCGGAUUUACUGGGCGUAAAGGGUGCGUAGGCGGUCUUUCAAGUCAGGAGUUAAAGGCUACGGCUCAACCGUAGUAAGCUCCUGAUACUGUCUGACUUGAGUGCAGGAGAGGAAAGCGGAAUUCCCAGUGUAGCGGUGAAAUGCGUAGAUAUUGGGAGGAACACCAGUAGCGAAGGCGGCUUUCUGGACUGUAACUGACGCUGAGGCACGAAAGCGUGGGGAGC